AACGAACGCUGGCGGCAUGCCUAACACAUGCAAGUCGAACGAGACCUCCGGGUCUAGGGGCGGACGGGGGGUUAAGGCCGGGGAACUUACCCUUAGGUUCGGAAUAACUCACCGAAGGGGAAGCUAAUACCGGUGAGGGUCUUCGGGCCAAAGAUUUAUCGCCGUUGGGUGGGGGCGGGUUGGAUUAGCUAGUUGGUAGGGUAAAAGCAUGUCAUGGCGACGAUGCAUAGCUGGUCUGAGAGGAGGAUCAGCCACACUGGGACUGAGACACGGCCCAGACUCGUAGGGGAGGCAGCAGUGGAGAAUAUUGGAGGAUGGGCGCAAGUCUGGCACAGCAAUGCCGCGUGUGUGAUGAAGGCGUUAGGGUUGUAAAGCUGUUUUACACGGGAUGAUAAUGACAGUACCGGGAGAAUAAGCUCCGGCUAACUACGUG
rnacentral:rRNA from 1 species